rnacentral:rRNA from 1 species
AUACGGAGGGUGCGAGCGUUAAUCGGAAUUACUGGGCGUAAAGCGUACGUAGGCGGUUUGCUAAGUCAGAUGUGAAAGCCCCGGGCUUAACCUGGGAACUGCAUUUGAUACUGGCAGACUAGAGUAUGAUAGGGGGGGGUAGAAUUCCUGGUGUAGCGGUGAAAUGCGUAGAUAUCAGGAGGAAUACCAGUGGCGAAGGCGGCCCCCUGGAUCAAUACUGACGCUGAGGUACGAAAGCGUGGGGAGCGAACAGGAUUAGAAACCCGAGUAGUCC